AUACUUACCUGGUGACGGGGCCUCGUUGAUCACCGAGGACGAGCCUCCAGGGCGGGCAUUGCACUGCGCUGGCGUUGACCCCUGCCGCUGCCCCAAAUUUGGGCAGAUGGGGCAUGCAAAUUGC
rnacentral:snRNA from 1 species